UACGAAGGGGGCGAGCGUUGUUCGGAUUUACUGGGCGUAAAGGGCGCGCAGGCGGCUCAUUUUGUCAGGCGUGAAAGCCCCGGGCUUAACCUGGGAACUGCGUUUGAUACGGAUGGGCUAGAGUUCGGGAGAGGAGAGUGGAAUUCCCAGUGUAGAGGUGAAAUUCGUAGAUAUCUGGAGGAACACCGGUGGCGAAGGCGGCAUCCUGGACCGGUACUGACGCUGAGGCGCGAAAGCGUGGGGAGCAAACAGG
rnacentral:rRNA from 1 species